AACGAACGCUGGCGGCAGGCUUAACACAUGCAAGUCGAGCGCCCCGCAAGGGGAGCGGCAGACGGGUGAGUAACGCGUGGGAAUCUACCCAUCUCUACGGAAUAACGCAUGGAAACGUGUGCUAAUACCGUAUACGUCCUUCGGGCGAAAGAUUUAUCGGAGAUGGAUGAGCCCGCGUUGGAUUAGCUAGUUGGUGGGGUAAAGGCCUACCAAGGCGACGAUCCAUAGCCGGUCUGAGAGGAUGAUCAGCCACACUGGGACUGAGACACGGCCCAGACUCCUACGGGAGGCAGCAGUGGGGAAUAUUGGACAAUGGGCGCAAGCCUGAUCCAGCCAUGCCGCGUGAGUGAUGAAGGCCCUAGGGUUGUAAAGCUCUUUCACCGGUGAAGAUAAUGACGGUAACCGGAGAAGAAGCCCCGGCUAACUUCGUGCCAGCCGCCGCUGUAACAC
rnacentral:rRNA from 1 species